UACAUGGGGUGCAACGUUGCUCGGAAUUAUUGGGCGUAAAGGCGCACGUAGGCGGUUCGUUAAGUCAGAUGUGAAAGCCCUCGGCUCAAACCGAGGGAAGUGCAACUCUGGAAACUGGCGAGCUAGAGUACUAAAGAGGGUCGCGGAAUUCCCGGUGUAGGAGGUGAAAGUUCGUAGAUAUCGGGAAGGAACACCGGUGGCGAAGGCGGCUCACGUGGCCCCGGUACUG
rnacentral:rRNA from 1 species